AGCAGCCGCCGCGGGAAUACGAAGGGGGCUAGCGUUGCUCGGAAUGACUGGGCGUAAAGGGCGCGUAGGCGGCGGCCAAAGUCAGGCGUGAAAUUCCUGGGCUCAACCUGGGGGCUGCGUUUGAUACUUGGUUGCUUGAGUGGGGAAGAGGGUCGUGGAAUUCCCAGUGUAGAGGUGAAAUUCGUAGAUAUUGGAAAGAACACCGGUGGCGAAGGCGGCGACCUGGCCUUUAACUGACGCUGAGGCGCGAAAGCGUGGGGAGCAAACAGGAUUAGAUACCCGCGUAGUCCCUGUCUCUUAUAC
rnacentral:rRNA from 1 species